GAAGAUAUCUUGCUCCGUUCUAGCUAACUUUGGCUCCCAGCUCUUGCAAACUCCAGGGGAUGGAGGAGGUCUCCAAUUAUUCUCUUCCCUUACUUCAAAACUGGUCCUGGCAGCAACUAACAUACCCUAUUUGCUUUUCUUUCACUUGCAUUUCAGAUCUGAAAGCACUGGAGAAAGGGGAAUUUCCAGACAGCAACACCAAUCCAGGCUCUUGCAAAAUUCUCUCCUGGAGCUUCAGCUGAAUGCAUACUUGCUCACUUUCAAAGGCCAGGUCACCCACUGUACAGCCCCCACAGGAGACGCAUCCAACGCAGGAGUGGCAGAAGGUGUCCAGAUCCAGAGCUGCUCGGCCUAGAGUGGUGGAAGCUCCCCAGGUACACCUGGGGAACAGGUUUGAGGCCCUGGCAGCUGUGACAGAGGAAGACAGAGCAAAUGCCUCUGGCGGGGACGAUGCCACUCCCCACGCGACAUGGAAUGGGCAGAGAAUGAACACCAGCAAGAAGAAACACCGGGUCCUCGUCAUCGGAGGCUCCAUCCUACAAGGACUGGAAGGUCUCAUCCGCCGGCCUGACCCCAUGACAUGGGAGGUCUGCUUCAUGCCUGGGGCUCGGGUUCGGGACAUCGCGGAGAGGAUCCCGGCCUACAUCCGACCUGCAGACCAGUACCCCAUGGUUGUCAUCCACGUGGGAACAAAUGACACAGCCAGGGGCAACCCUAACCGCAUUAUGAAGGACUUCGAGGCUCUGAGGGCCAAGCUUAAGGAGAUGGGGGCGCAGGUGGUAUUCUCCUCUCUUCUUCCGGUGAGUAGGCAGGGACGGUGACACGAGGCCUGCACUGGAGAGGUCAACCAGCGCUUAUGGAGAUGGUGCCGCCAGGUGGGCCUUGGGUUCCUAGAUAAUGACACAUGCUUUCAGGCAGGGGACUUGCUGGGGUGGGAUGGGCUUCACCACUCUCCUAAAGGCAAGCGUAUCUUCUCUUCCAGGUUGACUGAUCUCAUAUGGCGAGCUUUAAACUAGCCUUGCCGGGGGAGGGGGCCGCAGGAAGACACCACCUGAGCAAGGCAGGUGACACAUGCAAGGAGUGCCCAGGGACUGGGAUGCCCCCACCGUGAUUCAAGAUGGACUCGAGGGGAACGCCUCCAGGCCUAAGGUUGAGGAGGACGGGGUUAGAGUGCUUCUGGAGAGGCUGGACGUGUUCAAAUCAGCAGGUCUGGAUGCUCUCCAAGCCAGGGUGUUGAGGGAGCUAGCAGGGGUUAUUGCAGGGCCCUUGGAAGAUAGCCAAUGUGGUCCCCAUCUUUAAAAAAGGGAGGAGGGAGGACCUGGGCAACUAUAGGCCCGUCAGUCUUACCUCAAUCCUGGGGAAGUUCUUUGAGACGAUCAUCAAGGAGCACAUCUGUGAUGGGCCGGCAUCGCGGAUGAUGCUCAAGGGCAACCAGCACGGUUUAAUUAGGGGCAGGUCAUGUCAGACUAACCUGAUUGCCUUUUACGAUCAGGUCACAAAAGCAUUAGAUGCAGGUGUCGCCGUGGAUGUAGUCUUUCUGGACUUCAGCAUGGCCUUUGACACUGUCGACCACCCCAUCCUCAUUAAAAAACUAGGCGACUGUGGCAUUGACGCCUACACAGUCAGAUGGAUUGCAAAUUGGCUGAAGGGUCGUACUCAGAGGGUGGUAGUGGAUGGGUCAUAUUUGACCUGGGGGGAAGUGGGCAGCGGAGUCCCCCAGGGCUCGGUCCUUGGGCCCGCACUGUUCAUUUUCUUUAUCAGCAAUUUGGACAACAGGGUGAAAAGCAACCUGUUCAAAUUUGCUGGUGAUACCAAAAUUUGGGGUGAGGUGGGCAUGCUAGCAGGGAGGGAAAGACUGCAGCAAGACCUGGAGAGGUUGCAGGGGUGGGGGCUAACAAAAACAGGAUGCAUUUCAAUACUGACAAGUGCAAGGUGCUGCACUUGGGCAGUAGUAACCGGCAGCACACUUAUAAGAUGAGAAACUCCCUUCUUCAGGGCACAGAGGCAGAAAGGGAUCUUGGAGUCAUCGCUGACUCCAAGAUGAACAUGGGCCGACAAUGCGAGGUCACGGUCGGCAGGGCUAACCGGACCUUAUCGUGCAUCCACAGGUGCAUCUCAAGUAGGGCCAAGGAGGUGAUCCUCCCCCUCUAUGCCACACUGGUCAGGCCACAGCUGGAGUACUGUGUCCAGUUCUGGGCACCCCACUUCAAGAAGGAUGUGGACAACAUGGAGAGGGUCCAGAGGAGGGCCACCCGCAUGAUCCGGGGACAGCAGGGCAGACCCUACAGUGAGAGGCUACGGGACCUGAACCUGUUCAGCCUUCACAAGAGAAGGCUGAGGAGGGACCUGAUGACCGUCUAUAAACUCACUAGGAGGACCAGAAGGGUUUGGGGGAGACCUUGUUUCCCCUAGCGCCCCCCGGGAUAACAAGGAAUAACGGCCACAAGUUGUUGGAGAGUAGGUUUAGAUUAGACAUCCAUAAGAACUACUUCACAGUCAGGGUGGCUAGGAUCUGGAACCAACUUCCAAGGGAGGUGAUGCUGGCUCCUACCCUGGGGAUCUUUAAGAAGAGGCUCGAUGCCUACCUGGCUGGGGUCAUUUGAGCCUAGUUUUCCUCCUGCCCAGGCAGGGGGUCGGACUUUAAGAUCUACAAGGUCCCUUCCGACCCUACUUCUAUGAUUCUAUGAAAAACCCAGACAAUUAUUGUUACUUGAGUGGGUCAGGAAAAUAAGUGUGUGUUAGAUCAAAGAAUGUCUUUGAUCUUUUUGCCAUACCAUAUGCUCUACCUACAGCCCCAGGCAUGUACUUCCCUCUCACCCUCCAUCCCUACAAUAGCAGCUGCAAAAUGUAUCUGCCAUGCUGAAGCAAGAUUUGCAGCUGCCUAGAAAGAUAAAGAAGGUCAGUUAAGAGUCAGAAGCAGACCCUCUGGCUGCUCUAGUUCUUAUAGAGAGGUAUUUUAAACAGGAUGCCCAACCUUGAAUAUGGAUACUCUGAUCAGUAUUUAGGGUAAUGAAAGUGCUGGUGGACACUGUACAUGAACCAUGGGUUGCAAUAUCAUGAUUAACAUAUAGCCUACACUCCUUGAGCAAGGAAAGUGUUAAGCAUUAUAUUAGAGGCAACAAAGGGAAAAAACCCACCUUUCUGAGAAACAAUAAAGGGUGGAAAAAUCAGAAGAAAGCAAAGAGGAAAUGUCUGAUCCCAAACAAUACAGUUCACUUACUGCCAUCUUGCAAAGAUCCAAGAGACAAAGCCCACUGGGAACGAGGAGAAUGAAAUGCCAAAAGUGUUAGGAAAACAACACUGGGCACCUCUGCUGUUGAGUAACAGAAGCCACAAGCACUAUUCACUGGCUCCUUCUGGAGUCCUUUGACUAUAGUUCUACCAGGAAACCUUCAUGUUUUUAUGCAUCACCAUACCUCCUAACCACCUACCACACAGUUUCACAUGGAUUUGAAUCUGUUGCUAGACCACAGGGGCUCCAGACCCCGCCACGAGUCCCACAGCCAAGGAUGGUCACAGUGCAUCCAUCACGGCACAGGGCAUGUUCCCUAGCCACAAUACUCUUGUCCUACAAAGUGCUGCUUCUGUGAAGCUUCUACCAGCACACAAACGAGCAAGAUCUCUGCCUGCCCCUCCAUCUAUUAUAGUGUCCAAGUCUGAUCACCUGAACCUAGUGGCAGAAGGGGCUUUCCUUGCUUCUCUGAAAACUUGUUUCAAAUUGACAGAGAAAAUGACUUGGACUGUGUCUGCACUGCACUUCGUAGUGAGAACAGCAGGCACAGACUCGGGCCAGCUGUAACUGAGUUUCCUGGUUACCCACGCAGCAGUGAAGUUGAUACUGAUUUCCAGGCAGCCUUCCACAGCACAUAUUGAAGCCAAUAUGGCUGUGGUUUCACUGAGCUAGCCUGAUGUAAGCUGGCACAGGUAGCCUACACAUGUUGCAGUCACAUCUCCUGGCAGAUGAGAAUAGGAUGGGGUUCAAGGUAGACAAAUGCAGAGUGCUGCACCUUGGGAGAAGGAAUCCACAGCAUGCAUGCAGGCUGGGGAGUUCCCUUCUUGAAAGCACAGAGGCGGAAAGGGAUCUUGGAGUCAUUAUUGACUCCAAGAUGAACAUGAGCCGCCAAUGCCAGACCGCAGCCAGCAAGGCCAACCAUACCUUGUCACGCAUCCAAAGGUGCAUCUCAAGCCAGUCCAGAGAAGUGAUACUCCCCCUCUAUGUGACUUUGGUCAGGCUGCAGUUGGAGUACUGCGUCCAGUACUGGGCGCCGCACUUCAAAAGGGAUGUGACCAGCCUGGAGAGGGUUCAGAGGAGGGCCACCCGCUUGGUAAGAGGGCAGCAGGACAGGCCCUAUGAGCAGAGACUGAAGGACCUGAACCUGUUCAGCCUCAGCAAGAGGAGGCUGAGGGGGGACCUGGUGGCUGCCUACAAACUCAUCAGGGGAGAUCAACAGCAAAUAGGCAGAGCCCUUUUCUCCCCAGCACCAUGUGGGGUGAUGAGGAACAAUGGUAAUAAGCUGAUGAAGAAUAGGUUUAGGUUAGAGAUCAGAAGGCAAUAUUUUACGGUUAGGGUGGCCAAAAUCUGGAACCAACUUCCCAGGGAAGUGGUCCUUGCCCCUACCUUGUGCAAAUUCAAGAGGAGGUUGGAUGAUCACCUGUCUGGGGUCUUGUGAACCCAGCAUUCAUUCCUGCCUGUGGCAGGGGGUCAGGCUAGAUGAUCUGUUCAGGUCCCUCCUGACCCUAGCUACUAUGAAACCAGGAUCUGGAUAGCCUCUUGGUAUGUAAAAGUGCUCCAUCAACCACAUCAACAAGUCUCACUGCUCUGCCUUGGUAUAGAGCAGUACAACACACUGGCUAUACAGACCUAAUUACCAGCCACAAAAUCCAAGAAGUUACUAGCCACCUUCUGCCUAUCAAAUCAGAAGGGAAACAGUGGACAUGUUUGGGGCAUAUCUUGGGCCUCCCAAGUAUGUCCUGGGGACCAACAUGCAGGCUCUCACAGGCAGCCUUCAAAAUGAGCGCUGACAGUUGAGAGGAGCAGAGGCCAUCCAAGAGAAGCCUUAUAAGCUAUCUUUAGCCAGCAGGACACAGCACUCGACCACCACAUCAUACAGGAGCUGGAAGCAGGAAGCAAACAGAAGUAAGAGAGACUACAUUCUGCCCCAUGUGCCAAUCUUGGCACAAGAAUAAGAGUGGGAGAAGGGAGGGUAUGUUUCUGUUUCUACCAGGAGUGAAAAAUAAUUCAACCAGAGGCUGCUGGAAAAUUAACAUUUUAUAAGAACGAAAUUGCAGAAGUGUCUUGGAACACAGAAAACAAAUGGUGUUUGGGGGUUCAUCAUAGGCAUCUCCAUGGCCUAGCCUCUUUCAACAGACCAUACCUUUGGAAAUGGACGAGUCAAGUAUUGACAAUGAACUGGGGAAGAAAGUGGUCCCCUGUUUGGGGACCUAGUAAGGAGUCAGGUUAGCCAACAGCUUUAAGGGUUUUGUCCACAACAAAAGGGUGACACUUAAGUAAUUCAUUUUCAGCAGAGACAAAUAAACAUAUAUUUAAAAAACAA